rnacentral:rRNA from 1 species
GUGUCAGCCGCCGCGGUAAUACGUAGGGCGCAAGCGUUAUCCGGAAUUAUUGGGCGUAAAGAGCUCGUAGGCGGUUUGUCGCGUCUGCCGUGAAAGUCCGGGGCUUAACUCCGGAUCUGCGGUGGGUACGGGCAGACUUGAGUGAUGUAGGGGAGACUGGAAUUCCUGGUGUAGCGGUGAAAUGCGCAGAUAUCAGGAGGAACACCGAUGGCGAAGGCAGGUCUCUGGGCAUUAACUGACGCUGAGGAGCGAAAGCAUGGGGAGCGAACAGGAUUAGAUACCCUGGUAGUCCAUGCCGUAAACGUUGGGCACUAGGUGUGGGGGACAUUCCACGUUUUCCGCGCCGUAGCUAACGCAUUAAGUGCCCCGCCUGGGGAGUACGGCCGCAAGGCUUAAACUCAAAGGAAUUGGCGG